rnacentral:rRNA from 1 species
UACGGAGGGUGCGAGCGUUGUCCGGAAUCAUUGGGCGUAAAGGGCGCGUAGGUGGCGCGGGAAGCGUGCGGUGAAAGCCCGGGGCUCAACCCCGGGUCGGCCGUGCGAACUCCCGGGCUCGAGCACUGUAGGGGCAGGCGGAAUUCCGGGUGUAGCGGUGGAAUGCGUAGAGAUCCGGAAGAACACCGGUGGCGAAGGCGGCCUGCUGGGCAGUGGCUGACGCUGAGGCGCGACAGCGUGGGGAGCAAACAGG